GAGUUUGAUCGUGGCUCAGAUUGAACGCUGGCGGCAUGCCUUACACAUGCAAGUCGAACGGCAGCAUGAUCUAGCUUGCUAGAUUGAUGGCGAGUGGCGAACGGGUGAGCAAUACAUCGGAACGUGCCCUGUAGUGGGGAGUAACUAGUCGAAAGAUUAGCUAAUACCGCAUACGACCUGAGGGUGAAAGUGGGGGACCGCAAGGCCUCAUGCUAUAGGAGCGGCCGAUGUCUGAUUAGCUAGUUGGUGGGGUAAAGGCCCACCAAGGCGACGAUCAGUAGCUGGUCUGGAGAGGACGAUCACGCCACACGUGGGACUGAGACGACCGGCCCA
rnacentral:rRNA from 1 species